rnacentral:rRNA from 1 species
AGUAGGGAAUCUUCCGCAAUGGGCGAAAGCCUGACGGAGCAACGCCGCGUGAGUGAUGAAGGUCUUCGGAUCGUAAAACUCUGUUAUUAGGGAAGAACAUAUGUGUAAGUAACUGUGCACAUCUUGACGGUACCUAAUCAGAAAGCCACGGCUAACUACGUGCCAGCAGCCGCGGUAAUACGUAGGUGGCAAGCGUUAUCCGGA